rnacentral:rRNA from 1 species
UACGAAGGUGGCAAGCGUUAUUCGGAAUGAUUGGGCGUAAAGGGUGCGAUAGACGGUAUGUUAAGUCAACUGUUAAAUUUCCCAGCCUAACUGGGAGCAAGCAGUAGAACUGGUGUACUAGAGGGUGGAAGAGAGAAGUGGAAGUUCUCGGAGUAGCGGUAAAAUGCGUAGAUCUCGGAGAGGAACACCAAUGGCGAAGGCAGGCUUCAUU